rnacentral:rRNA from 1 species
AUUGAACGCUGGCGGCAGGCCUAACACAUGCAAGUCGAACGAGUGGCGGACGGGUGAGUAAUGUCUGGGAAACUGCCCGAUGGUGGGGGAUAACUACUGUAAACGGUAGCUAUUACCGCAUACCAUCGGAUGUGCCCCGAUGGGAUUAGCUAGUAGGUGGGGUAACGGCUCACCUAGUCGACGCUCCUUAGCUGGUCUGAGAGGAUGACAAUCCACACUGUAACUGAGACACGGUCCAGACUCCUACGGGAGGCAGCAGUGGGGAAUAUGGCACAAUGGGCGCAAGCAUGAUGCAGCAAUGCCGCGUGUAUGAAGAAGGCCUUCGGGUUGUAAAGUACUUUCAGCGAGGAGGCGUUACUCGAAGAAGAAGCAUCGGCUAACUACAUGCCAGCAGCCGCGGUAAUUC